rnacentral:rRNA from 1 species
AACGAACGCUGGCGGCAUGCCUAACACAUGCAAGUCGAACGAGACCUUCGGGUCUAGUGGCGCACGGGUGCGUAACGCGUGGGAACCUGCCCUUAGGUUCGGAAUACCUCCCCGAAAGGGGUGCUAAUACCGGAUAAUUUCUUCUGACCAAAGAUUUAUCGCCCUUGGAUGGGCACGCGUUGGAUUAGCUAGUUGGUAGGGUAAAAGCCUACCAAGGCGACGAUCCAUAGCUGGUCUGAGAGGAUGGUCAGCCACACUGGGACUGAGACACGGCCCAGACUCCUACGGGAGGCAGCAGUGGGGAAUAUUGGACAAUGGGCGAAAGCCUGAUCCAGCAAUGCCGCGUGAGUGAUGAAGGCCUUAGGGUUGUAAAGCUCUUUUACCCGGGAUGAUAAUGACGGUACCGGGAGAAUAAGCUCCGGCUAACUCCGUG